UACGUAGGGCGCGAGCGUUGUCCGGAUUUAUUGGGCGUAAAGAGCUCGUAGGCGGUGUGUCGCGUCGGCCGUGAAAACCUGCAGCUUAACUGUGGGCUUGCGGUCGAUACUGGCAUCACUGGAGUUCGGCAGGGGAGACUGGAAUUCCUGGUGUAGCGGUGAAAUGCGUAGAUAUCUGGAGGAAUACCGGUGGCGAAGGCGGCAUCCUGGACCGAGAUUGACACUGAUGAGCGAAAGCUAGGGGAGCAAACGGG
rnacentral:rRNA from 1 species